CCUACGGGAUGCAGCAGUGAGGAAUAUUGGUCAAUGGACGCAAGUCUGAACCAGCCAUGCCGCGUGCAGGAAGACGGCUCUAUGAGUUGUAAACUGCUUUUGUACGAGGGUAAACGCAGAUACGCGUAUCUGUCUGAAAGUAUCGUACGAAUAAGGAUCGGCUAACUCCGUGCCAGCAGCCGCGGUAAUACGGAGGAUUCAAGCGUUAUCCGGAUUUAUUGGGUUUAAAGGGUGCGUAGGCGGUCGGAUAAGUUAGAGGUGAAAUCCCGGGGCUCAACUUCGGAAUUGCCACUGAUAAUGUUCGUCUAGAGAGUAGUUGCGGUAGGCGGAAUGUAUGGUGUAGCGGUGAAAUGCUUAGAGAUCAUACAGAACACCGAUUGCGAAGGCAGCUUACCAAGCUACUUCUGACGUUGAGGCACGAAAGCGUGGGGAGCAAACAGGAUUAGAUACCCCAGUAGUC
rnacentral:rRNA from 1 species